rnacentral:rRNA from 1 species
UACGUAGGGGGCAAGCGUUGUCCGGAUUUAUUGGGCGUAAAGAGCGUGUAGGCGGCCAGACAGGUCCGUUGUGAAAACUCGAGGCUCAACCUCGAGACGCCGAUGGAAACCGUCUGGCUAGAGUCCGGAAGAGGAGAGUGGAAUUCCUGGUGUAGCGGUGAAAUGCGCAGAUAUCAGGAAGAACACCGAUGGCGAAGGCAGUUCUCUGGGACGGUACUGACGCUGAGACGCGAAAGCGUGGGGAGCGAACAGG